rnacentral:rRNA from 1 species
UACGUAGGGUGCGAGCGUUGUCCGGAAUUAUUGGGCGUAAAGGGCUCGUAGGCGGUCUGUUGCGUCAGGAGUGAAAACUCGGGGCUUAACCCCGAGCCUGCUUCUGAUACGGGCAGACUAGAGGUAUGCAGGGGAGAACGGAAUUCCUGGUGUAGCGGUGAAAUGCGCAGAUAUCAGGAGGAACACCGGUGGCGAAGGCGGUUCUCUGGGCAUUACCUGACGCUGAGGAGUGAAAGUGUGGGGAGCGAACAGG